AUGAUACUCCCUCCGUCUCAAAAUUCUUGUCAUAGGUUUAUAUAAAAAUUGAUGUAUCUAAAUACUAAUACAUGACUAAAUACAUUAAUAUCUAGACAAAUCAAAGACAAAUUUUUUGAGACUGAGGGAGUAUAUA
rfam:Hordeum vulgare subsp. vulgare, WGS project CAJW01000000 data, contig: morex_contig_1019755